GACGAACGCUGGCGGCGUGCCUAAUACAUGCAAGUAGAACGCUGAAGGAGGAGCUUGCUCUUCUGGAUGAGUUGCGAACGGGUGAGUAACGCGUAGGUAACCUGCCUGGUAGCGGGGGAUAACUAUUGGAAACGAUAGCUAAUACCGCAUAAGAGUAGAUGUUGCAUGACAUUUGCUUAAAAGGUGCAAUUGCAUCACUACCAGAUGGACCUGCGUUGUAUUAGCUAGUUGGUGGGGUAACGGCUCACCAAGGCGACGAUACAUAGCCGACCUGAGAGGGUGAUCGGCCACACUGGGACUGAGACACGGCCCAGACUCCUACGGGAGGCAGCAGUAGGGAAUCUUCGGCAAUGGACGGAAGUCUGACCGAGCAACGCCGCGUGAGUGAAGAAGGUUUUCGUAUCGUAAAGCUCUGUUGUAAGAGAAGAACGAGUGUGAGAGUGGAAAGUUCACACUGUGACGGUAUCUUACCAGAAAGGGACGGCUAACUACGUG
rnacentral:rRNA from 1 species